AUGAUGAGUGCCAAGAACCUCUCUCGGAUUGCCAAGAAAUGGCAGAGGGUGGCGGCUAUCGGGAGGAAGAGGCUCACCUGGUCGUUAUCAACGUCCACAGAAGAAGCCGGAGGGUCAUGCGGCAUGUCAUGCUCGUCGGUGGCCAGUAAGGGCCACUGCAUCAUGUACACUGCCGACGGCGUGAGGUUCGAAGUGCCGCUUGCGUUCCUUGGCACAACCGUCUUCAGUGAGCUCUUAAGGAUAUCCCAAGAGGAGUUCGGCUUCGCAGGCGUUGAUGGUGACAGAAUCACGCUUCCCUGCGAUGCAUCGGUGAUGGAGUACGCCAUGUGGUUGCUCAGGAGAAGCGCCUCCGCAGAGACGGAGGCCGCGUUCCUCAAUACCAUGGCGAUGCCAUGCCAUUAUCAUGUGGUGCCACAUCUGGAAGUUAGCCAGCAUUUCGGUGUCUGCAGCUCCUGA
rnacentral:rRNA from 1 species